GUUCAGAGAAGCUGUGAACUGAGGCAAACAUAGUCACUCAGGCACCUAGGAGUGUGGGCAUGCUUUUCUGCGCCUAUUUUGGAGAUAUUUUGCCAGCAGAGAAGGGAAAGAGAAGUUUUGUAGCUGAAGGAAAGAAGGAGAUGAUGCAAUUCUACCAGUGCAUGUUGAAAAGGUUUUUGUGACAGCUGUCUAACAGGCAUAUGUAACCUGAAUUUCCUAAUUGCUCAUGGCUUCUAAAAAGCAUGAUAAUGCUGCCAGUAUGGUAAAUCAAUUCAAACUGUGCAGAUCAGUUCCUGAGAAACUGCUGAAAAUGCUGCUGUUUCUGGACCUGGAUGGCCUGGUGCAGCCCCACUCACCCUCACCCUGGCCCUUUUGGGCUGGGCUGGACUCAGUUCCUGAACAGGAAAGAUACAAAGGCAGCGCAGAAGCCUACAUAUUUGAUUGAUGCCACCACUUCAGAGAACAGCCCCAGAAAUGGGAACUUGGGAGCAAAAUCACUCCUGACACUUCUACAGGAAUGUGGACUUUGAACUGGGUUUUGCAGGUGGAGAUAUCUGAGACCUUCCUCUGGGUAAGAAAAUCUUCUGCAAGCAAAAUUGCCCAAGUCAUCUCUUCCUUGGCAUUAGAUUUUAUGCUAUUAAUUUUGCAAAGCUAUC
rnacentral:lncRNA from 1 species